rnacentral:rRNA from 1 species
GACGAACGCUGGCGGCGUGCCUAAUACAUGCAAGUUGAGCGCUGAAGGUUGGUACUUGUACCAACUGGAUGAGCAGCGAACGGGUGAGUAACGCGUGGGGAAUCUGCCUUUGAGCGGGGGACAACAUUUGGAAACGAAUGCUAAUACCGCAUAAAAACUUUAAACACAAGUUUUAAGUUUGAAAGAUGCAAUUGCAUCACUCGAAGAUGAUCCCGCGUUGUAUUAGCUAGUUGGUGAGGUAAAGGCUCACCAAGGCGAUGAUACAUAGCCGACCUGAGAGGGUGAUCGGCCACAUUGGGACUGAGACACGGCCCAAACUCCUACGGGAGGCAGCAGUAGUGAAUCUUCGGCAAUGGACGAAAGUCUGACCGAGCAACGCCGCGUGAGUGAAGAAGGUUUUCGGAUCGUAAAACUCUGUUGGUAGAGAAGAACGUUGGUGAGAGUGGAAAGCUCAUCAAGUGACGGUAACUACCCAGAAAGGGACGGCUAACUACGUG